rnacentral:tRNA from 1 species
GGUUCCGUGGUGUAGGGGUUAACAUGCCUGCCUGUCACGCAGGAGAUCUCGGGUUCAAAUCCCGUCGGGACCG